GUAGGGAAUAUUGGGCAAUGGAGGCAACUCUGACCCAGCCAUGCCGCGUGCAGGAUGACGGCCCUCUGGGUUGUAAACUGCUUUUAUACGGGAAGAAAAAAUACUACGUGUAGUAUACUGACGGUACCGUAAGAAUAAGGAUCGGCUAACUCCGUGCCAGCAGCCGCGGUAAUACGGAGGAUCCAAGCGUUGUCCGGAUUUAUUGGGUUUAAAGGGUGCGUAGGCGGAUCUUUAAGUCAGUGGUGAAAGCCUGCAGCUUAACUGUAGAAUUGCCAUUGAAACGGAAGAUCUUGAAUGUGGUUAAAGUAGGCGGAAUGUAUAAUGUAGCGGUGAAAUGCUUAGAUAUGAUACAGAACACCGAUAGCGAAGGCAGCUUGCUGAACCAUUAUUGACGCUGAGGCACGAAAGCGUGGGGAGCGAACAGGAUUAGAUACCCUUGUAGUCC
rnacentral:rRNA from 1 species